CCAGACGGUCGGACGGCCGCCCGCCUUCGCCCUACGGGCUAUGGCGCGACAAGCCCGCGGUUUAGCCGCAUAACGGGCCUGCCGCGCCGAAGCUCGCAGAGCGAAGGUGGGAGGAAAGUCCGGGCUCCAUGGAGACAAGGCGCCGGGUAACGCCCGGCCGGCGGGCCCAGUGAUGGGCGCGUUGAGGGAAAGCGCCACAGAGAAUAUACCGCUCCGGACUUGUUCCGGAGUAAGGGUGAAAAGGUGCGGUAAGAGCGCACCGCUGCACUGGCGACAGGGCAGGCAUGGCAAGCCCCGCCUGGAGCAAGACCGAAUAGGGACGGCGCGCCUUUAGGGGCAGGCGGGUUUUCGCGCCGAUGCCGUCCGGGUUGGUUGCUUGAGCGAACGUGCAAGCGUUCGCCUAGAGGAAUGGCCGUCGCCGCUUUUUUCGCAAGAAGAUAGCGGUACAGAACCCGGCUUACAGACCGUCUGGCGCU
rnacentral:RNase_P_RNA from 1 species